AUGGGGCAGAGAAAUUUUGAAAACUGACAAAAUAAUGAUCUUAUAAUUCUAUAAGAUACACUUUGGUCUGCUAUUAUAUGUCUAUGUAUUUAUAUAUGUCAGGUGUAUAUAACAUUUUACUACUGAAAUAUAUAAAAGAAAUUUCUCAGUACUUGGAAAAGAAAGAAGAUCAGAAAGUCAGGGGAAAGUCAGAGAGAUACCUUGGUUCUGAGGGUUUUUAUUUCCUUUAAUUCAAGCACUCAGCAUGCCAAAACACCAUAUUUUGGUAGAAAACUGCAAAGGUGUAGUCAAAGAAGUUGGAAGAAAAUAAUUGAUCAAGGACUUUCAAGAAAUAGUCAAUAGUACUACAUAAAGCAGAUAAGUAAGAUAGUGUUAACUAGUUUUUUUUUCUACUAAUGAAUUCUCCAACCCAUGAACAUGGGAUAUCUUUCCAUUUAUUUGUGCCUUCUUCAAUUUCCUUCAUCAGUGUUUCACAGUUUUCUUAGUAGAGAUCUUUCACCUCCUUGAUUAUAUUAUUUAUACCUAGGUUUUUUAGCACUAUUAUAAAUGGGAUUGCUUUCUUGAUUUCUUGUUUAGGUAGUUCACUAUUAACCAAUAGAAAUACUACUAGUUGGAGUACCUGCUCCUGCUGCACUGGACGGAGCAGCAGCGGCUGCUUUGCCUUCCUUUGCCACCAGUCCUGGCCAUCGCUGGGGAGGUCUGCGGACCUUGGCUCCAGGAUCUGAGUGGGGGGCCACACUAGGCCCAUAGCCCUGCCCCUGGCUCCGUCUUCCUUGGCCAUCAGGGCCUCAAGCCCCUCUGCGGCCCCCACCUCGUACGGGGUCUUCUGCAAGGGACUCUCCCACACCCUCCUUGCCUUCUUUGAGCUGUCCUGGCACUCAUGAACUUCCAAUACUUGUAUGUCGUUGCAGGCUCUGUGAUCCUCAACAUCUGCUUGCAGGUACACUUUUAGAGCCGCGACUGAGCUGCCAGCCUCGGCCUCCCCGGACAGCAUGAUGGCAGACUCCCAGGGGCCCCCGCGGCGCAGCAGAGCUGCC
rnacentral:lncRNA from 1 species